rnacentral:rRNA from 1 species
CCCUUAGAGUUUGAUCCUGGCUCAGGACGAACGCUGGCGGCGUGCCUAAUACAUGCAAGUCGAGCGGAACACUUGGAGCUUGCUCCAAGCGUUUAGCGGCGGACGGGUGAGUAACACGUGGGCAACCUGCCCUGCAGAUCGGGAUAACUCCGGGAAACCGGUGCUAAUACCGAAUAGUUUGAAGCCUCACCUGAGGCUUCACGGAAAGACGGUUUCGGCUGUCACUGCAGGAUGGGCCCGCGGCGCAUUAGCUAGUUGGUGGGGUAACGGCCCACCAAGGCCACGAUGCGUAGCCGACCUGAGAGGGUGACCGGCCACACUGGGACUGAGACACGGCCCAGACUCCUACGGGAGGCAGCAGUAGGGAAUCUUCCGCAAUGGACGCAAGUCUGACGGAGCAACGCCGCGUGAGUGACGAAGGUUUUCGGAUCGUAAAACUCUGUUGUGAGGGAAGAACACGUACCAACUAACUAUUGGUACCUUGACGGUACCUCACCAGAAAGCCACGGCUAACUACGUGCCAGCAGCCGCGGUAAUACGUAGGUGGCAAGCGUUGUCCGGAAUUAUUGGGCGUAAAGCGCGCGCAGGCGGUUCCUUAAGUCUGAUGUGAAAGCCCACGGCUCAACCGUGGAGGGUCAUUGGAAACUGGGGAACUUGAGUGCAGAAGAGGAAAGUGGAAUUCCACGUGUAGCGGUGAAAUGCGUAGAGAUGUGGAGGAACACCAGUGGCG